rnacentral:rRNA from 3 species
GUCUACGGCCAUACCACCCUGAAUGCCCCCGAUCUUCUCUGAUCUCAGAAGCUAAGCAGGGUUGGGCCUGGUUAGUACUUGGUAUGGGAGAAAGCAUUAGACAUCAAUCUUGUAAGAAUUUAAAGUUCAAUAGAUU